rnacentral:rRNA from 1 species
UACGAAGGGGCUAGCGUUGUACCGGAAUUACUGGGCGUAAAGGGCGCGUAGGCGGUCGAAUCAAGUCAGGUGUAAAAGACCCCGGGCUCAACCCGGGGGUAGCACCUGAAACUGGUUGGCUAGAGGGCAGGAGAGGGGAGUGGAAUUCCCGGUGUAGCGGUGAAAUGCGUAGAUAUCGGGAGGAAUACCAGUGGCGAAGGCGACUCUCUGGACUGGCCCUGACGCUGAGGCGCGAAAGCGUGGGGAGCGAACAGGAUUAGAUACCCCCGGUAGU